UUGGCUGCAUUUCACUUAGACCCAAAGAAAUGGGGAGUUAAUGUCCAACCUCUGUCUGGUUCUCCUGCUAACUUUGAAGUUUACACUGCACUUCUCAACCCACAUGACCGUAUUAUGGGUCUGGAUCUUCCUCAUGGAGGUCACUUGUCACAUGGAUUUAUGACUCCUAAAAGACGGGUAUCUGGGACUUCGAUUUAUUUUGAAUCGAUGCCCUACCGUCUUGAUGAAUCAACAGGCCUUAUUGAUUAUGAUAUGCUUGAGAAAACUGCCACCCUC